GCUAUCAUACUAGCACUAAUGCAUCAAAUCUCAUUAGAACUCCGAAAUUAAGUAUGUUUAGGCGAGAGUAAUAUUUAGAUAGAUGAUCCUCUGAAAAAUUCGCGUGUUGCACCUC